AUGAGUUUGACGUUUCCACCUGAGCUUUCCAUCCCCCCAUCCCCAUCUCCCCUUUGUCCCGCAGGGCUCCGGGCGGCCGUGACCCUGCUGGAGUCCGGGGGGGACCUCCAGCCCCCCGGGGGGUCCCUGCGCCUCCUCUGCCGAGGGUCCGGGUUCGAUUUCGGCAAUUUUGAGAUGUACUGGAUCCGGCAGAGACCCGGGCAGUCCCUGGAAUUCGUCGCACAGAUCAACAGCAAGGGCGACAACGCCGUGUAUGCUGCAGCCGUGCAGGGCCGGGUGACGAUCUCCAGGGACAACGGGCAGAGCUCGGUGACGCUGACCAUGAACAGCCUCAAGGACGAGGAUUCCGGAUCCGAUUUCUGUGCCAAAUCUGGCGCUGCUGGUUGGGGUGCUGCUGCUUGA